GGGUGCAUUGCUCAGUGGUAGAGCGUGCGCCUAGCAUGCAUGAUCCUUGGUUCAAUUCCCAGUACCUCCA
rnacentral:tRNA from 1 species